rnacentral:lncRNA from 1 species
UGUUCCCAGAUGACUUUUUUGAGGAUCAGGAGGUGUCGCCACGAACGAUCAGGAGAUUUCAGGAGACUCGCUCGCCUCAAAAAUUGGUAGAAUUCUGUAGUUUCAGUCUUUACAUUUAUAGAUUGGCAACUAGAUGUCGCCACGAAAAAUCAGUAGAAUCAGUUGGUGGAGUAUUUUUACGUUUAUAGGUAGGCAUGCAACUCUAUAAAAUCUGUAAGGGACGGCUGUGGCAACGCUAGAUGGCGGCUAAAGCAUAAAAA